rnacentral:rRNA from 1 species
GACAGUAUGACGCUGGCGGCAGGCCUAACACAUGCAAGUCGAGCGGUAACACAAGGGAGCUUGCUCCUGAGGUGACGAGCGGCGGACGGGUGAGUAAUGCCUAGGGAUCUGCCCAGUCGAGGGGGAUAACAGUUGGAAACGACUGCUAAUACCGCAUACGCCCUACGGGGGAAAGGAGGGGACCUUCGGGCCUUCCGCGAUUGGAUGAACCUAGGUGGGAUUAGCUAGUUGGUGAGGUAAUGGCUCACCAAGGCGACGAUCCCUAGCUGUUCUGAGAGGAUGAUCAGCCACACUGGGACUGAGACACGGCCCAGACUCCUACGGGAGGCAGCAGUGGGGAAUAUUGCACAAUGGGGGAAACCCUGAUGCAGCCAUGCCGCGUGUGUGAAGAAGGCCUUCGGGUUGUAAAGCACUUUCAGUAGGGAGGAAAGGUAAUAUUUUAAUAAACUAUUACUGUGACGUUACCUACAGAAGAAGGACCGGCUAACUCCGUGCCAGCAGCCGCGGUAAUACGGAGGGUCCGAGCGUUAAUCGGAAUUACUGGGCGUAAAGCGUGCGCAGGCGGUUUGUUAAGCCAGAUGUGAAAUCCCCGGGCUCAACCUGGGA